GACGAACGCUGGCGGCGUGCCUAAUACAUGCCAGUAGAACGCUGAAGCGAGGAGCUUGCUCUUCUUGGAUGAGUUGCGAACGGGUGAGUAACGCGUAGGUAACCUGCCUUGUAGCGGGGGAUAACUAUUGGAAACGAUAGCUAAUACCGCAUAACAAUGGAUGACACAUGUCCUUUAUUUGAAAGGGGCAAUUGCUCCACUACAAGAUGGACCUGCGUUGUAUUAGCUAGUAGGUGAGGUAACGGCUCACCUAGGCGACGAUACAUAGCCGACCUGAGAGGGUGAUCGGCCACACUGGGACUGAGACACGGCCCAGACGCCUACGGGAGGCAGCAGUAGGGAAUCUUCGGCAAUGGGGGCAACCCUGACCGAGCAACGCCGCGUGAGUGAAGAAGGUUUUCGGAUCGUAAAGCUCUGUUGUAAGUCAAGAACGAGUGUGAGAGUGGAAAGUUCACACUGUGACGGUAGCUUACCAGAAAGGGACGGCUAACUACGUG
rnacentral:rRNA from 1 species